CGCCGGGCCACACCCUCCCAACGGGGUGCUGCUCAUCUGCAAGGAUGGGAGAC
rfam:Caulobacterales bacterium 68-7 SCNpilot_cont_300_bf_scaffold_3075, whole genome shotgun sequence.